rnacentral:rRNA from 1 species
UACAGAGGUCUCAAGCGUUGUUCGGAUUCAUUGGGCGUAAAGGGUGCGUAGGUGGCGCCGUAAGUCGGGUGUGAAAUUUCGGAGCUUAACUCCGAAACUGCAUUCGAUACUGCGGUGCUUGAGGCAAGGAGAGGGGCGUGGAAUUCCCGGUGUAGUGGUGGAAUGCGUAGAUAUCGGGAGGAACACCAGUGGCGGAAGGCGGCUUCCUGGACCGGUUCUAGACACGUGAGGAGCGAAAGCGUGGGGAGACGAUCGG